GAUGAAGAACGUAGCGAAAUGCGAUAAGUAAUGUGAAUUGCAGAUUUCAGUGAAUCAUCGAAUCUUUGAACACACAUUGCGCCUGCUAGUAUUCUGGCGGGCAUGCCUGUUCGAGCGUCAUUUCAACCAUCAAGCCCUAGGCUUGCGUUGGAGCCCUGCGGCUGCCGCAGGCUCCCAAAUCCAGUGGCGGGCUCGUCGUCGUACCGAGUGCAGUAAACAUCCUCGCUCAGGGAACGUGACGGGUUCUUGCCGUGAAACCCCCCACAUAUCAAGGUUGACCUCGGAUCAGGUAGGAAUACCCGCUGAACUUAAGCAUAUCAAUAAGCGGAGGA
rnacentral:misc_RNA from 1 species